AUCUUUAGGAAUUAAAACAACCGAAAAAUAUUUGAAUAUGUAAUAAAAACAUUCUUAAAGUUAUAAAUUUUAAAACAUAACACGGCAACACAUUAUAGCAGAUUUCUGUCAUUUGGACGUUUUAGUAGCAGAAUAAUGGUUGGCAACCCGUACAAAGUGUGACUUUAGUAGCAGAAUAUUGGUUGGCAACCCGUACCAAGUGUGAUUUUAGUAGAGAAUUUUCGAGGCAACCCCUACCAAUUGGGAUAUUUUUGAAUGUGUAUUAGUGAAAAUCUUAGGAUUGGCUACUUGUAGAUUUAUACAAUGGCUUAGAUGGAGGAGGAAUUGUAAUUGAAAUUUGUAGUAAAUAUAAAUAAUACAAAAAGAGGAUUUAACGAAAAAAUGUAGUAAUUCUGGAAGAAAUCACACUUCAAAUUAUAGGGGUUGCCUUGUAUAUACAGAAUUGAAAUCGAAAUUACCGCUGGGAAUUUAAGCACGCCGAAACCAAAUGAUAAAUAUUCGAAGUUAUUGAAAUCACUGACCGCAGUCAAAAACGUUGUUAUGUUAAGAAUAACGUAAUACAUGGAAGUUAUGCAAAUGUGGUAAAAGACAUAACUGUUCAAAUGCAAUUGUCUCGAAACGAACCAAGGGGAAACGUUAAAAGUGUGAUUUUAAAUCUUACUCAAUGUAUGACACAAUUUAUGUCUGCAAUGCAAAAUAUGAUUAAAGAUUUAAACAAAGCGCAAAACCCUAUGCUGCAACCUUUUUUAAUAUUGGGGCUCACGUCUAAUUCAUCUGAAGGGAAAGCAACUGUAAUACACUAUUUAUGAAUAUAAAAAAUAACCUUUACAUAAUUUCUCUUGCUAAGCCGACAUACUGGCAAAGUGAUCAAAACAAAAUACCAUAUUUAAUUGAUAUUGCUGUACUUAAAAAUAUAGAUAGAUCGCUUAUAACUGCUGAUACAUGUACUGACUUAUUUUUUGAUUACUCUGCAGUACUAAUAAAGCUAUGUGAACAACCCUUGGUUGUAUCACCAAAAGUGGUUUUAACAUCCCAUAAAACGAAGUGGUUAAAAAACAAACAAUAUGUCAGUAGCCACAUAAAUGUUGAUUACAAAAAAACUCAGAAAAAGACAUUGAGCAAACCAUAAGCAAACUUAAUGAUUGCAGUCGCCAAAAAAGUGCUAAAGUGUGUGGAAUACGUUACUUACCUAAAGAAAUUUAGCCCAAAUACAACCAACAAACAAAACUACUUUGGAAAGCCCAAAAACACAUUAUGCCACGGUAGAUUCCUACAUGUCCAUAAGAUACGUGAGUAGUAAAUUGGCUCGAAGUGAUAAGGAAAAAGUAAUUUGCUUCGCAAACCACCUAGAGAUGGCAAUUCAGCCUGAUUGUCGAAAAAACGACUUUGAGCUGCCAAUUUUAAAAGAUUCACAAAGUUGAAAUUACUGCAAAUAUGCUAAUGAAGCUACCAAUUAUUGCUGCAGUAAUGCUCUCCUUGCUUUUUAAUGCAAUUUUAUUUUUUGAAUAUUAUCCAAAUUCAUGGAAAAGUCGCAGAUCAUCCUGAUAGCUAAACCCGAGAAAUACUUAACACAGUCGUCUUCUUACAGACCAAUAAGCCUCUUACUCUAAUUUUCGAAAAUAUUCAAAGAAAUGUUACUAUUAAUGAUGUCCCCUUUUCUCCAUAAAAAUAAUAUAAUUCAAACACACCAAUAAGGGAACCGUCAAAAGCAUGGCACUGUAGAGCAAGUAAUUUGAAUAAAUAAAGAAAUCAGAAAAGCAUUCGAGCACAGAGAGCACUAUUAAGCAAUAUUCCUUGAUGUAGCCCAAUCAUUCGAUAAGGUGUGGCACGACGGCCUUUUAUAUAAAAGACAAUACUGGGCAUUCGCUUAGACAGAAGGCUCACAUGAAGAAUACAUAUAUCCACCAAAAUAACUAGCAUAAAAUAUGAGCAGCAAAUUUAAACUUUCAAUUAAAAGUUGUAAGCUAUGUCUUUAUAACAAAGUUCUGAUAUACAAUGUGGUAAUAAAGCCGAUUUGAAUGUAUGGUAUUCUAAUGUGGGGUGCGACCUGUGCAACAAACAUUAACAUAGCACAGAGAUCUCAGAUAAAAAGCCUUAGAGCGAUAACGACUCACCAUAGUACUUUCGAAAUGAAAACGUUCAUAAAUAUCUUGGUAUUUUAAUGGUAAAGAAACUAGCAGAGGUCUGAAAAAUACGAACUUAAAUUUCGAGAACAUCCGGAUCCAUUAGCUAGCUCCUGUUAUCAAAACCACUUGAAAAUAAGAGAUAUUCCAGUUUUUUAAAGAGCAACGCAUUAGCAAAAAGCUUAAUCACAAUCUUGAGCUUGUUUAGUUAUAAAUAGAUUUAAGAUUUUAUCACUUUAUGUUAGACUUUAAGUAAGCCGAUUAAAAAAAAGAAAUGUACAAUAAAAAAAAUUGGUUUUAUGUGACCUAAAAAUUCGGAGACACAAA